AGUGUACCCGCGGCAAGACGGAAAGACCCCGUGAACCUUUACUAUAGCUUGACACUGAACAUUGAGCCUUGAUGUGUAGGAUAGGUGGGAGGCUUUGAAGCGUGGACGCCAGUCUGCGUGGAGCCAACCUUGAAAUACCACCCUUUAAUGUUUGAUGUUCUAACGUUGGCCCCUUAUCGGGGUUGCGGACAGUGUCUGGUGGGUAGUUUGACUGGGGCGGUCUCCUCCCAAAGCGUAACGGAGGAGCACGAAGGUUAGCUAAUCCUGGUCGGACAUCAGGAGGUUAGUGCAAUGGCAUAAGCUAGCUUGACUGCGAGCGUGACGGCGCGAGCAGGUGCGAAAGCAGGUCAUAGUGAUCCGGUGGUUCUGAAUGGAAGGGCCAUCGCUCAACGGAUAAAAGGUACUCCGGGGAUAACAGGCUGAUACCGCCCAAGAGUUCAUAUCGACGGCGGUGUUUGGCACCUCGAUGUCGGCUCAUCACAUCCUGGGGCUGAAGUAGGUCCCAAGGGUAUGGCUGUUCGCCAUUUAAAGUGGUACGCGAGCUGGGUUUAGAACGUCGUGAGACAGUUCGGUCCCUAUCUGCCGUGGGCGCUGGAGAAUUGAGGGGGGCUGCUCCUAGUACGAGAGGACCGGAGUGGACGCAUCACUGGUGUUCGGGUUGUCAUGCCAAUGGCACUGCCCGGUAGCUAAAUGCGGAAGAGAUAAGUGCUGAAAGCAUCUAAGCACGAAACUUGCCCCGAGAUGAGUUCUCCCUGAGACUAUAAGUCUCCUGAAGGAACGUUAAAGACGAUGACGUUGAUAGGCCGGGUGUGUAAGCGCAGCGAUGCGUUGAGCUAACCGGUACUAAUGAACCGUGAGGCUUAACCUU
rnacentral:rRNA from 1 species